UACGGAGGUGGCGAGCGUUGUUCGGAAUCACUGGGCGUAAAGGGCGUGUAGGCGGUCGAGUAAGUGGGAUGUGAAAUGCCCCGGCUCACCCGGGGACCGGCAUCUCAAACUGCUCGGCUCGAGUACGGGAGAGGAUGAGGGAAUUCCUGGUGUAGCGGUGAAAUGCGUAGAUAUCAGGAGGAACACCGGUGGCGAAAGCGCUCAUCUGGCCCGAUACUGACGCUGAGGCGCGAAAGCUAGGGGAGCAAAC
rnacentral:rRNA from 1 species